AUUGAACGCUGGCGGCAUGCCUAACACAUGCAAGUCGAACGAGUGGCGGACGGGUGAGUAAUGUCUGGGAAACUGCCUAAUGGAGGGGGAUAACUACUGGAAACGGUAGCUAAUACCGCAUACCAUCGGAUGUGCCCAGAUGGGAUUAGCUUGUUGGUGGGGUAACGGCUCACCAAGGCGACGAUCCCUAGCUGGUCUGAGAGGAUGACCAGCCACACUGGGACUGAGACACGGCCCAGACUCCUACGGGAGGCAGCAGUGGGGAAUAUUGGACAAUGGGCGAAAGCCUGAUGCAGCCAUGCCGCGUGUAUGAAGAAGGCCUUCGGGUUGUAAAGUACUUUCGGCAGGGAGGCGUUACCCGCAGAAGAAGCACCGGCUAACUCCGUGCCAGCAGCCGCGGUAAUAC
rnacentral:rRNA from 1 species